rnacentral:tRNA from 1 species
UGCAUAGGUUUCAACGGCGCGGUUGAGGCUCGCCCUAGCCUACCCCAAUUGGGGUGGGUUUGAUUGCCGUGGGUUCGGGUCCCACCCCUGGCGG